rnacentral:rRNA from 1 species
UACGGAGGGUGCAAGCGUUAUCCGGAUUCACUGGGUUUAAAGGGUGUGUAGGCGGGUAUUUAAGUCAGUGGUGAAAUCUCCAGGCUCAACCUGGAAACUGCCAUUGAUACUAUUUAUCUUGAAUAUCGUUGAGGUUGGCGGAAUAUAUCAUGUAGCGGUGAAAUGCAUAGAUAUGAUAUAGAACACCGAUUGCGAAGGCAGCUAACUAAACGAUUAUUGACGCUGAGGCACGAAAGCGUGGGGAUCAAACAGG